rnacentral:rRNA from 1 species
CCUACGGGUGGCAGCAGUGGGGGAUAUUGGACAAUGGGGGAAACCCUGAUCCAGCGACGCCGCGUGAGGGAAGAAGUAUUUCGGUAUGUAAAGCUUUAUCAGCAGGGAAGAAAGAAAUGACGGUACCUGAGUAAGAAGCCUCGGCUAACUACGUGCCAGCAGCCGCGGGAAUACGUAGGGGGCAAGCGUUAUGCGGAAUUACGGGGUGUAAAGGGAGCGUAGACGGUAAUGCAAGUCUGGAGGGAAAGGCGGGGGCCCAACCCCCGGACUGCCCUGGAAACUGUGUAACUGGAGUGCAGGGGAGGCAGGCGGAAUGCCUAGUGUAGCGGUGAAAUGCGUAGAUAUUAGGAGGAACACCAGUGGCGAAGGCAGCCUGCUGGACUGUAACUGACGUUGAGGCUCGAAAGCGUGGGGAGCGAACAGGAUUAGAUACCCUAGUAGUC